rnacentral:lncRNA from 1 species
GAAUUUUUAUAUCAUUGUAUGGUCUGUUGUCCAGAUGGCAUUAAUGGAACAAGUUAUUGGGCUAAAGCAUCUAACAUGCAAUUAUUUCCACUCUCUGAGGAUCAGAUCAUGACCCUGCCCAUGAAGAAAGAAUGAAGAUUUCCAGUGGAUGAACCUUUUCUAUCUAGGAAGUAUGGAUCUG